CGCUGCAGAGUAAGCAAACAAAGGAAGAUUAAUGGGCUAAAAUGUUAGAUGGACCAGGCCCAUGAUGAAAGUGGCAGUGUCGUAAUUCGAGACAGAGAGUUGACUCUUCGCACAAAAGAAAUCUCGUCAAGAAACCCUAAUCCUACUGCAGAGUUGUUCUAUAUAUAUUUGUGUGUGCGCGCACCGCUUAAGCCAAGCAUUGCGGAAUGAUCUCUCUCACGUGCACACCAAAUUGUCUUCUGGCUUUUAGGGUUUGUGUUUUAUGGUUUUAUGUUCUUAUGUUUCAAGUUUUCUUUUUCGCAAAACGGCGAAGGUAUUAAUUGGGUGGUUAUGAGAUAAAAGAGUACGAGGCUGUGAUUUUGAGAAAUAACUAUUUUAUGAGGGAUCAAUUAUCUUUUGUGAUUAUAAACACCAAUGGAUCCUUCUGAGCCUAAACUCUUUUUCGGUUUCACUUGUUCUUAUUUACUGUGUUUCUGAGUUGAGUCGAGGUAUCAGAGCCACUGAUGUGAUGAUUUUUUUUUUCCGGAAAUUAUGAUGUCGACUUAAUAAAUCAGACUACAAUUAUCUGAUCUCUGGCUCUCUCGAAUCAUCCUUCCAAUUCCCCUCUGAUUUCGUUUUGUAUUAUAAUUUAUUAAACAUUUGUGUCAAUUUGAUCGAUUGAAGUCUGGAUUUUCACUUUCCUGGGAACGAAUCUUAGCUUAUUUUAACAACCAACCUGUUUUCAAAACUCUAAACUCUCAAUAGAUAUCAGUGCCCAUCUGCCAUACUCAUCUGUUUGUGCUACGGACCUAAGAUUAUUGUCAAAACUACCAGAAAUCAAUGUUAUUCCUUAAAGCUUUCUUUCUCUUUCAAUGGCAUAUUACAAACGUUACAAAAUAAUGCCAGAUUAACAGUAUUCCCCUCUGAGUUUGUUGCAUUUCUUUUGUUCACAAUGAAUCAUUGGGAUCGGACGCCCCAAGUUUAGCUGAAAACCUACUUGAAAAUGUUGCCUCUUUCCUGUGAUAUUAAGGAAGACUUUGUUUGCAAAUUCUCAUUUCAGGGAAAUAAUCAGGAAAGAUAUCAUAUAUUCCUGUUGGGCCUUUGUGUGUUUUGUUGGCUUUAGAGUUUUGGAUUGGGCCCAAACCCAAACUGUUAGACAGGGAAAUGGUUCAGAAGUAUGCACAAAGGAAUGCAACAAAUGUCAAGCAUCUAAAAUAGUACGUACAAAAUUCUCUCAUCAUGUGUCAUCCAACUAUGCGCUGAAAUACGGACAACGGAAUAAGAAAUUUAGAACGCUUGUAAUCUUGAAAAAAAUCCAAUUUUCUGACUUAAAAGGAGUAAGACACUAAGCGGCCGGAGCAAACAGAUUACAGUUUGAGUGAGUAAUAUGGACAAAGUAUACCCAAGGGUAGAUUUGAGUGAGUUGGCUUACCAGUUUUGACUUGUUUAAAUUCAAAACAAGUAAUCAUAGGUUGAGUAUUAAAUCACGUUAUUUGUAAUAGUGUUACAUUAAAUAAUGUAAAUUUUGUUAUAUAAUUUAGAGUUAAAACGA